rnacentral:rRNA from 1 species
CGCACAGAAGUAACUUGGUGGAAGAGCAAUGUCGCCUGUAGAAUUCAGCUGACUGUCGAGUUUCACCCUGGUUGCCAACUGCCUAACGGUGGGGGUUAAUCGGUGGUGUUGAUUUGAUGGUUGGUGCACUUUCUUCAGGUGAGCGCAAGGAUCGCUUGGUGCGUCGGCAAAAGUCUUAACGGAGCCGCCUCGGGGUCAAACCUGGGAGCGUACGUUGAGUAACCGGUCGAAUGUAUCGAGUGAGAUCACACUCUGGCCGCAUGUCUCUCAGUAGGCGUCAUAUCUUGCAGCUACCGUGUGGUUUGUCAUGAAUUUGGCAAAUACAUGGUGCCGUCUUGUUAGUGGCGUUUGCGUACGAGAGAUGUCAGAUAUGAUCUUUUGCGUCCGAGUCUCGCACCCACCUAUAUCGUCUUGAAACACGAGCCGAGAAGUCUAACAGAUGCGCAAGUCAAUGGGCUAUCAAAUAACCCCAAAGGCGCAAUGAAAGUAAAGUCGUGGCCUUGUGCUCGGCGAGCUGAGAUCCGCAGGUUCUCUGCGGCGCAUCAGCGUCCCAUCUUAAGAACCUUCGGGCUUCUGAGGUGGAGAUUGAGCGUAUCUGUUAGGACCCGAAAGAUGGUGAACUAUSCCUGUGUAGACUGAASCCAGAAGAAAUUCUGGUGGAAGGUCGUAGCGGUUUU